UGAGUAAUGUAUAGCUAAACUGCCCUACACUAGAGGACAACAGUUGGAAACGGCUGCUAAUACUCUAUACUCCUGUCUUACAUAAGUUAGAUAGGGAAAGUUUUUCGGUGUAGGAUGAGGCUAUAUUGUAUCAGCUAGUUGGUGAGGUAAUGGCUCACCAAGGCUAUGACGCAUAACUGGUCUGAGAGGGUGACCGGCCACAUUGGGACUGAGAUACGGCCCAG
rnacentral:rRNA from 1 species